rnacentral:rRNA from 1 species
UACGUAGGGUGCAAGCGUUAAUCGGAAUUACUGGGCGUAAAGCGUUCGCAGGCGGUUUUGCACGUCAGCUGUGAAAUCCCCGGGCUCAACCUGGGAACUGCAUUUGUGACUGCCUGGCUAGAGUGCGGCAGAGGGGGAUGGAAUUCCGCGUGUAGCAGUGAAAUGCGUAGAUAUGCGGAGGAACACCGAUGGCGAAGGCAAGCCCCUGGGCCUGCACUGACGCUCAUGCACGAAAGCGUGGGGAGCAAACAGG